ensembl:lncRNA
AGGGAAGCAAGGCUUGCAGGAAGCCGCUCCGGAUGUUUGCUUCUUUACAUGUGGCAUUUGUGGCUGGCUUUGAUAACGUCGUGAGCUCCGCUUCCAACACCCAUUUAGUGAAGAAACUGAAAUAUGGUCUACUCACACCGCGGGCGAGUCUGCGGUGCGGUUGCCCCCUACACUACUCCCAAAGUAUCUGUCAAGAGAAUGGUCAGCACAAGUUAGAUCUAGGUUACCCUCACCGUCCGAGAACAGAAAGAAGGAACCCAGGUAAAACUGUGCAAAUAGGUUUUCUAGACCUACACUUGAACUAUCUUGAGGAAAAAUUGGUCAAGACAAAGAAGACAGAGAAAAUGCAUUGUGGACCCGGUACUGUUUUCACUCUUCACUCCAAACAAACCGUUUAGUUUAUACAAGAUUUCACAGAAAGAGAAAAUUCGGCCCUGAGAUCUUUGAAAAUAUGUCUGUUACUAGCUGUUAAUAGUCCACUGUUGGAGGUCAGGGCCGAUGACACUGUGGCUGGGAGCCAGGAGGAUUACAUAGGGAGACCCUCUUUCAAAACAAAUGAACAACAAAACAGAGUUUUUUUUAAGAGAGUACCUGGCUGGAGGGAAUUAAUUUGUCAUAUUGUUGUCUCUACUCCUAUAGUUUCAUUACUUAAAACACUUACAAUGCAAUUUUUGUUUUACUUUCAAGCCAAUGUUUUUCAGAAAAACAUAAAGCUUUGAGGAAAAGCAAAUCAUCCGUUAGAUUUAAGAUCAACUGCUUUCAAAUCACCAAUUAAAAACAAUGUUUUCUGUGAUUUAUCGAAGCAGAUUUACCACCCCCCUCCCCAUUGAACCUUACAGACCUGGAGCUUCAACUACUGUCACUGUUGUUGCUGCACACUACCAGUUGUAAACAGGAGAGAGUCACCAUUGCUUUACAACAUAACGCAUCAAAGAAAAAUUGGCUUCCGUAUGAGUUCUUUGUAGAAAAAGUAAUUCCAGAAACUGCAGGCCAGGAGCUAGCAAAAUCUCUGUGAUUUUUGGAAUCCUUGGUAAGCCAGACUUGAUCUCUGAAACAACACACAAGAAAACCUCAACAUGUAACUCCUCAUAGACACAUGCAGGACCACCCGGGCCCAUCGGUUAAGUGAUACUUUUCAAUCAGCCCUUCAUAGUAAACACAAUUUGUUUUGGAAAGUACUAUGUUGAAUUCCCCCACUCCACCCACACAGCCCCCAGAGAGCCCAGGCUGGCCUCUAACUCCAAAGGUAAUUGAGGGUGAUCUUGAACUUCUUGUCUCUCUGCCUCCACUUCUCAAGUGUUCGAUUCCGGAAUCACAGGCAUUAAUUAGCUAUCACAUAGACUUUGUUUUUAUUUUUUUAUUUUUUUAGUUCUUCUUGCCUGCUAAGUGAUGAUUUUGUAUUAUGUCCCUAGUCCUUGAAUUUUCCUUCCUCAAACUCAUGCAGGAAUGACUAAGUUGGUUGUCUUAGAAAACAGCACCAAGAUGCAAACAAACACAAAUGCAACUCUGAACUUGCACACUUUUGCAGCUUCUGUUCUGAAGGCUGGCUGCUAGCUGUGAGUGACAACCUCCCAGUGCAGGUACUAGCCUCUCUGAGUCUGUUAUAAUGCUGCCCAUUCAAGAGACUGGUUAGGGGUUAAAUUAGUUUGCAAAGGUUCUGAAGGUGCUGAGUGGUUUGCUGGGAUAAGCACAUGUUUAGAAGCCCAUAGAAAGUAUUUUCAAGUCUGAAAUAAAUUUAAAGGCACUCGGGUUUUUCAAUCCAGUCUUAAGAAAUAUAGAAAUGCUGUAACCAUCUGUCAGGGUAACCAUCUUAAACGGUAUGGGUUUUGCUGCUUAGAUGGAGCGACCCUUCUCCUCAACGAAUAUCUAUGUGCUGCUGUCUUUGCACUUUAUUUUUUAUUUUAUCCUUGUGGUGUUUGGGAUGGAAGCAUGGCCUCUUGUAAGUCUUAGAAAUUAAACCAGGUCUUGCCUCUUUUACUGAAUACACAUGAGCGAGCAGCUUUUGUUAUACGUAUUUUAUGUUUGAUACAGAAAUUCUCAAGGGUUGACUUGAACUUUUAAUUCAUUGAGUGGUGAAAUAUCGAUGAUGUAAGAUUUCACAUUAAACUUUGUUUUUAAAAAAUACAAUUUACCCUCGACAUUUUUAAUAUAAUGUAAGCAUGAUGCGUUCUUGGGAGAACAAGAUUCCCCCCCCCCGAAAAACCAUAUGGAGGUAAUUCCCUCCUGUAAUAAAGUUUGUUGUUGUUGUCGUUUGAGAAUGAACGGAUACCUAAUAUGUUAAUGUGAACUACCUUAUGGCUAGUGCUUCAUCUUCCGGUACAGUGAGCACCCCUAGACAGCUGAAUUUCACUAGUCCUAUUUCCCGAGUUGUAGAGGACUUGGCGCCAGAGCCCGGCUCCAGCCAGUUUUUCCCCCUGGCAGGUGUAGUCAG